ensembl:miRNA
GAAUGGCUUGAACCCAGGAGGUGGAGGCUGCAGUGAGCCAAGAUCGUGCCACUGCACUCCAGCCUGGUGACAGAGCGAGACU